UUGGAGGGCAAGUCUGGUGCCAGCAGCCGCGGUAAUUCCAGCUCCAAUAGCGUAUAUUAAAGUUGUUGCAGUUAAAAAGCUCGUAGUUGAAUUUCGGGAUCAAUUUAUUGGUCGUGCCAACGGUACGCACUGGUACAAUUGGUUUCUCCCUUCUGACGAAGCAUGAUGUCAUUAAUUUGAUGUCGUGGAAAAUCAGGACUGUUACUUUGAAAAAAUUAGAGUGUUUAAAGCAGGCUUUGGCUUGAAUACAUUAGCAUGGAAUAAUGAAAUAGGACGUUUGAUCUUAUUUCGUUGGUUUCUAAGAUCGACGUAAUGAUUAAUAGGGAUAGUUGGGGGCAUUAGUAUUCAAUUGUCAGAGGUGAAAUUCUUGGAUUUAUUGAAGACUAACUACUGCGAAAGCAUUUGCCAAGGAUGUUUUCAUUAAUCAAGAACGAAAGUUAGGGGAUCGAAGACGAUCAGAUACCGUCGUAGUCUUAACCAUAAACUAUGCCGACUAGGGAUCGGAUGAUGUUAAUUUUUUAAUGACUCAUUCGGCGCCUUACGGGAAAC
rnacentral:rRNA from 1 species